UACAGAGGGUGCGAGCGUUGUUCGGAAUUAUUGGGCGUAAAGGGUGCGUAGGCGGCGCGGUAAGUCGGGUGUGAAAUCUUGGAGCUUAACUCCGAAACUGCAUUCGAUACUGCCGUGCUUGAGGACUGGAGAGGAGACUGGAAUUUACGGUGUAGCGGUGAAAUGCGUAGAUAUCGUAAGGAAGACCAGUGGCGAAGGCGGGUCUCUGGACAGUUCCUGACGCUGAGGCACGAAGGCCAGGGGAGCAAACGGG
rnacentral:rRNA from 1 species